UCUUCAUGCCCGACGAGAAGAGACACGCCC
rnacentral:piRNA from 1 species